rnacentral:rRNA from 1 species
UGAAUACGAGAUGCUACGGCGUCGAAGCAGUGUAUGUCAGACUUCCAAGAAAAGCUCGCAAUGUCAUAAAUAAAGAAUGCCUGUACCAUAACCGACACAGGUGGGUAGGUAGAGUAUACUAAGGGGCGCGAGAUAACUCUCUCUAAGGAACUCGGCAAAAUAACUCCGUAACUUCGGGAGAAGGAGUGCCUUCUUUAAGAAGGUUGCAAUAACAAGAUCCAAGCAACUGUUUAUCAAAAACACAGGUCUCCGCUAAGUCGUAAGACGAUGUAUGGGGGCUGACGCCUGCCCAGUGCCAGAAGGUUAAAGAAGUUGGUUAGCUUUUGCGAAGCUGAUGACUGAAGCCCUGGUGAACGGCGGCCGUAACUAUAACGGUCCUAAGGUAGCGAAAUUCCUUGUCGGGUAAGUUCCGACCCGCACGAAAGGCGUAAUGAUUUGGAUACUGUCUCGGAGAGGGACUCGGUGAAAUAGACUUGUCUGUGAAGAUGCGGACUACCUGCACCAGGACAGAAAGACCCUAUGAAGCUUUACUGUAACUUGAAAUUGAAAUUGGACUUUAUUUGCGCAGUAUAGGUGGAAGGCGUUGAAAGUAAUCUUGCGGGAUUAGUGGAGCCAUCAGUGAGAUACCACUCCUAUAAUGUUAGAUUUCUAACUUUGGAUCAUGAUCUGGUCAAAGAACAGUUUCAGGCGGGCAGUUUGACUGGGGCGGUCGCCUCCCAAAUGGUAACGGAGGCGUACAAAGGUUUCCUCUGAACGGGUAGAAAUCGUAUCUAGAGUGUAAAGGCAUAAGGAAGCUUGACUGUGAGACCUACAAGUCGAGCAGGGACGAAAGUCGGUCUUAGUGAUCUGACGGUGCUGAGUGGAAAGGCCGUCACUCAACGGAUAAAAGUUACUCUAGGAUAACAGGCUGAUCUCCCCCAAGAGUUCACAUCGACGGGGAGGUUUGGCACCUCGAUGUCGGCUCAUCGCAUCCUGGGGCGGUAGUACGUCCCAAGGGUUGGGCUGUUCGCCCAUGAAAGCGGUACGCGAGCUGGGUUCAGAACGUCGUGAGACAGUUCGGUCCAUAUCCGGUGUAGGCGUUAGAAUAUUGAGAGGAGCCUUCUUUAGUACGAGAGGACCGAGAAGGACAUACCUCUGGUGUACCAGUUAUCGUGCCAACGGUAAACGCUGGGUAGCUAUGUAUGGAGAGGAUAACCGCUGAAAGCAUCUAAGUGGGAAGCCCACCUCAAGAUGGGUAUUCUCACC